AAAGCGUGCGCAGGCGGUUAUGUAAGACAGUUGUGAAAUCCCCGGGCUCAACCUGGGAACUGCAUCUGUGACUGCAUAGCUAGAGUACGGUAGAGGGGGAUGGAAUUCCGCGUGUAGCAGUGAAAUGCGUAGAUAUGCGGAGGAACACCGAUGGCGAAGGCAAUCCCCUGGACCUGUACUGACGCUCAUGCACGAAAGCGUGGGGAGCAAACAGGAUUAGAUACCCUAGU
rnacentral:rRNA from 1 species